GGUUAGGUUUAGGGGUAGGAAUAGGGUUAAGACUAAAUUUUCAGACUAGAAUGUUGUUCCAGGAUCAACAAAAUAUGUUAAACCAGGAACACAUCUAACUCAGCAAUAUCAGGACGUGCUGAAAGUUAUUCGUCAGGUGGCACUGAGAUACACAUACAGGUGUGUAUUUGAGAGAAGAAGGUGAUGGGCAUCUAGUGAUUCUGUCUUCACCCCAGCUGGACCAGUAGGACCUCAUGACCUACAUUCAUAGCCAGCUGUCAGCCCAACAAUAUCACCUACAUCCUCUGCCAGCAGUCCUAAGCACCUGAGCCAGAGUCUCGGAUCUGUUUGGAUGAGGACUUCUGUAGAUGAGAGAAAGUUGGGUUGUGUUUGGGUUCCUCUCCUCUCAUCUGCUCUCCUCUCCUUCUGUCUGAGAUGGUAAAUAAGGUUGGGUGUGUGAGAAUCUCAUUACCAGGACACAAAGCGGCAUUUCCUCUGAGGAUUGAGUGAGCGAGUGAAGGAGGGAGGAAGGGAGGGGGCGAGCGGAGCGAACGGCCAGGCUCAAUCACGACCACGCUGAUGGGGAGGGAGAAGGAGGCAGCUGGGUUCCCGCUCAGGCCUUCAAUUUCCUCCACAGUCCAGCCACUCAAGUGUGUAAUUACUAUGGGGUGUCAUGAAGGUGCGAUUCCUUCUCCUUGUAACACUCAACCCCCUUCUUGCCUGCACCCCCCAACGGCUCUCAGCUCCCCACGUCCCCUGCAUUCACCCCCAGUAACACCCCCAUCUCAUUUCUGCCCCAGGUGAGGGCACUAGAUCCAAAUAUGUCAGGUGCUAUAGACAUCCCAAAGCACACCCUCUCCGUAUGUCAUAGCCGCAUGGUCCCCUCCAGCUUGUUAGCAGUCCACUUUCACUUACACUUUGUUUAUUUGUCACAAUUUGCCAGUUUUCUGUGUGGCUGUUUGUGCUUACAAGAUGUCUAAACUUUGCAUCAAGCGAUAAGUGAUUUACCAUCUUCAGGUUGAAUGGCUGCCCUUGAGUUGUGCUGCUCUUGAUCAGAGCUUGUCGAUACUAAUUCGGUUUCAUUUUUCCAUAGUCAAUAUUUUAUUUAUUUUUUUAUUAUCAUUUUAUUUUUAGUAUAUAAUAUA